rnacentral:lncRNA from 1 species
CGGCCAUCAACCGUCACGCCGGUCACCGGCCACCGACGGCGGCGCCGCCGUCCACGGUGGCCGAAAAAUCUUUCGAGGCCUUUUUUCGCUUCUCUUCUCGAGUAGAGCCCGGAUUUGGGGUUAAAACGACCCAAAAACCUUCAAAAAUUAAUGAGAAGCACCCUAGAACUCAAGAAUCCAUUCGAUUUUUGGCCACCAAUCUUCGGCGGUGGCUUCCUCGGUCGUCCACGAUGUUGGAAAAUUG